UACGUAGGGGGCAAGCGUUGUCCGGAUUUAUUGGGCGUAAAGAGCUCGUAGGCGGUCUGUCGCGUCUGUUGUGAAAACUCGAGGCUCAACCUCGGGCUUGCAGUGGAUACGGGCAGACUAGAGUGCGGUAGGGGAGACUGGAAUUCCUGGUGUAGCGGUGGAAUGCGCAGAUAUCGGGAGGAACACCAGUGGCGAAGGCGGCUCUCUGGACAGGUACUGACGCUGAGACGCGAAAGCGUGGGUAGCAAACAGG
rnacentral:rRNA from 1 species